GAGAGCGAGAGAAAAAGACAGAGAGUGAAAGAGAGCGAGAGAGAGAGAAGACUGCAUUCAUCUGUGUUACAACCUUUUCCUUGCCAAACUGAAAUGAUGUGCCAGCCGAGACUAGCGUGCAUAUCUUCAGAGUUGAUGACAUCACCAGUCUGUGUAUAAUGAGCUCCACAACACUCUCAUUGCAAUUAAUGAGCAGGACAAACUGCACUGGUGGAAGAACAUCCACAGACCGGGCAUGCCCACUGACUGACCUCGCUUCCAGGAGUGGGCACCAGAAAAGAAAAGAAAAAGAAAGAGGUAGAGACACAGCAAGGCACAAUAGAGUCUAAUGGCUGGGAUGCCAUUGACACGUUCAACUAGGAGACGUACAGAGUCAACUCCAUCUGUGGCUUCUUCUCCAUGUACACUGCUCCUCUGGAGAGGACUGCCUCGGAUGAAUGAGACAAUGAGACAAUACCACCACCUCGUCUCACUGAAGAACGAUGAAGGCAAGACUGAGGAGUACAAGUACAGUACCAUGGUCUAAGUGAGAGAGUAGACACGAAUGAGUAGUGCCGAGGGCAGGUGGGUCACGAGAGGAAUCACAGACAUACACUAAUACAUGAUCACAUACAAACAUGUAACAGAGUUAAGAACGUGCCCUAAGCUCACUCCACAGCUAGCUUGAAAUGUUGCGGUUGAAGUCAUCCGAUUGUCACCUUUUGGGUGGCACAAACCGUUGGUACAUUGUCAAGGAGGAAGGUCACGUGUGUUUGCGAGCAGAGGAUCACUGGUUCGAGCUGAGUAUGGGACAGGGACAGUGUAGGAAAAUAUACUGUUUUUGCAUUAGCACUACACAUCUGAUUCAAAUCAUCAACACUUGAUGAUAAGUUGAUCAUUUGAAUCGGCUGUGUAGUGCUUGGGAAAAACUAAAAUGUGGGUCCCCAGGAUCAGGAUUAGGAAAUGCUGUUCUAACUAGACUAAUCACAUUCCCACCUCAUCUCUCACUGGCUACCUAUAUGUAGACAUGAUCCAACUCUGGGAACAUAUUGACUCACAUUGAUUUAAGGAAUGUUUGUGACAAAUCAAAAUACAAUCCGCCGAAUACAACAGAUUUGACCAUGAAAUGCUUACUUACGAGCCCUUUCUCAACAAUGCAGAGUUAAAGAUGCACUAUGCAGAAAUCGCUCUGCCAUUUCCUGGUUGCUAAAAUUGUCAUAGUUAGCAUAAUUUCUGUUUAUGUGACAAAACAAGCAAAUAUAGUAUACAGAAUCAUUGUGCCAUCUAAACCGCUGUGAAAUAUAAUUUCCAUAACGCAAAAUAUUGUAUUUUCAGCUCUUUGAAGCUGGUGUACAAAACCGAAAGGAAAGACACAAUAUCUGAAUUUAAGAAGACAGCAUAGAAAUUGUACACAUAGAAAAGACAUACCGCUUCUUAGACUUGCAUUCAAUGAGAAUGACAGAUCUAUAAGGCAUAUUUAUAUGUGAAUCUAGUUGGGUCACUCAAAAAGUUACAUAUUGCAGCUUUAAAACGUAAGAAAUAUAGUAACACAAUAAAAUAACAAUAACGAGGCUAUACAUAAGGAGUACCGGUACCUGUUUGCUUUCUUUGCCGACCGCAAGCAUGAAAGUUAGACAGGAGAGCAUUGCUUAGUUUUUAAGAAGUUUCAGUGUUGCUACAUUUGGCAAACAAAGUAAUUGUGACACUAUUUAUGUUUUCCAGGUGAUCAUGGUAACAGCCUUAUCAUAGAGAUGGACAACUGGUCCUCGGAAUGCAAUUAGUUGAAUCAGUUUAAUGUGUUAGCUGGGGCUGGGGGAAAAGUGUGACACCAAUCAGGCUCCAGAGGGCUGGAGCACUACAAUGAGGAUGACUAGAUCAAGAUAGAAACAACAGACGCAAGAUCCAGAGUGUUCUGAUACAGGGCUUUCCCGGAGAGUUACUGUCUUGUAGGCUUUCUCGAACCCUAAUCUAGUGUAUCAGAUUCUAAAAACUAGCUGGCUGAUAAACUACAGGUGGGUAACUUUCCAGAAAAUCUGAACCUCCACCUAGUCUCCCCAGCCUUUUCUCUCGUAACCUCUCUCCCUCUACUAUAGAUGCAUUUUUUGAUUGGACUGAGAGGGAUGUAAACACAGACAGCUUGCAGCUACCACAUUUAACAAUGUGGGAUUAAUUCACUAUUACAUCAUUUCAAAUAAAGUGAAUCAUCUUAUUUGUUUGUGCUAAGGUGGUCCAUUAGGUUAAUAUGAAUAGUACUGAUGACGAUUACAAUCAUGUUGGUAAUGUUGACUUCAGAGAAAUAUUGUUGUUUAUUAUGUUUUGGUAUUCUAAUAGUUUCUGUAACAAGUCUCAUCACCUGCUGCUUGCAUUUCAAUAGCUAAGUUGUUUAUGAAUUGCACAAUUGUCAGAAAGUCAGGAUAAAUCAGGCUAAGAUGCUGCAACAUCAGUCAACAGCCAUCUUAGUGCAGAACAGCACUGCCUGGACACAUUGAGACUAAAAAUAAUAUUGGAGAUAUGGGUAAAGAGUAGCUACUAACGAUCAAGGUAAGACUAGACAUAGCGUUCUACUUCUGUUUGAUGAAAUGUUCGUGGGAUUAUGCUAUUGUAUGUCUUUUGAGCAUUGGUUUGGUUAGCGAACUAGCUAGCUACGGUAGAGAGGUCGAUUUGUUGCAACAAAAUGAAGCUCGAUCUGAACUCAUGCAUUGAAUUGAAUUGUGAAUAUGGCUGAGAUAAUUGAACAAAACAAGUAUGUUGAGGGUCAAUGUUGUCAAGGUAACAACGUAUUAGCAAGGCAAUUUAUGCUAUAGCUGGGCUGCUCAGAUGAGAUGGGAACAUGGGCUGUAUCGCAUUAGUGGAAACCAAUACUGUUCUCGGGGCAUGUUUUGACUAGCAGAAGUUACUUUUUGUAGCACUGGUUAGGAUAACUUAAGCAGCAGGUUAGGAUAAUUAGGUUAAGGAUAGGAAAAGGGUUAGGGUUAGCUAAAAUUGUUCCCCAAAGUGACUCGAACAUAUCUAGCUACAACCAGGCCUGCCCUGAGAACAGGCUUGGUUUCCACUAAUGCGAUGCACCGCGAACCCAGGAGCCUGGCUAACGUUACAACAUGAAAUAACGAAACAGAUAAAAAUUCAACAAAGGCUAUCUGGCUUGGAUUUGUUUUGAAUAUGGCUGAGAACAAAAAUAUAUUGAGCGGCAGUGUUGUCGAGAUAUAACAUUAGCUAGCUAGCUAAAAACUUGUGUGGCUAGCUACUGUUGCUAAGAUACUUGAGAGUGGUUAGGUUUCAGUUUUGCAUCACAGCUCGGUACCUAGAACAGAUAGAUCUCCAAUGAGGACAUGCUGCAUGUUUCACUUCGAAUGAGACUAUGAUCUGUAAUCCUAAUUCUGUUUUACCUUUUUUGGUAUCUCCUUAAAACUUCUUAGGGCUAGGCCCCUUUUUUCUCAAUUUCCGCCUGAAUGACGUGCCUGUUGCUCAGGCCCUGAAGCCAGGAUAUGCAUAUAAUUGGUACCAUUGGAAAGAAAACACUUUGAAGUUUGUAGAAAUGUUAAAAUAAUGUCGGAGAAUAUCCAAAGAAAAACCAACCAUAAUUCGUUUUUUUGACAGAUCAUGCUCUUACAAUAAAAAGUAUAAGGGCAUACUGGAAAGCUCCCUGGAUGCAAUUCCUAUGACUUCCACAGAGUGUCAGCAGUCUAUGUUCAAGGUUUCAGGCUUGUAACUUCAAAAACGAAGAAGAAAUAUCAGUUUUAGUACAGGGACACACAGUCUUGGAAAUUCAUGUUUGCGUGCGCUAUGAAGACAGGACGCACCUGCUAAAAUCUACUUCCUAUUGAACAUUCUUCAUUCCGUGAGAAAUAUUAUAGUUUGAUUACAUUUUAGGGUAUUUGAGGAGUAAAUAGAAACGUAUUUUGACUUGUUGAAACAACGUUUAGGGGUAGAUUUUCAGAUUCCUUUCUCUGCAUGUUGAACGAGUGGAUUACUCAAAUGGAUGGCGCCAACUAGACUUUUUGGGAUAUAGAGAAGGAUUUUAUCUAACAAAACCACACUACAUGUUAUAGCUGGGACCCUUUGGAUGACAAAUCAGAGGAAAAUGUUCAAAAAAUAAGUGAAUAUUUAAUCGCUAUUUGUGAAUUUAUGAAACCUGUGCCGUUGGAAAAAUAUUUUGAUGUGGGGCGCCGUCCUCAAACAAUCGCAUGACAUGCUUCGGCUGUAAUAGCUACUGUAAAUCGGACAGUGCAGUUGGAUUAACAUCAAUUUAAGCUUUCAACUGAUAUAAGACACUUACAUGUACCUAAAUGUUUUUAUGGUUAUUUAUUUGAAUUGUGCACUCUCCAGUUAGCGGGACACCUAGCCCUAAAUAUUAGCUUGUUAGCCCCUAUGUAAUUAUUUCGUUCUCCUUAAUUGUUCGCUGUAAAAUAUAGCAGAGAAAAUAUUGUUUUUAAUUGAAUCAACAACACAUUUCUUGAAUAUUCAAACAGAAGAAUGUGGCCAUAAUUAAUUGUUCUCUGUGUUUCAAGUGUCACUGUUGAAAAGUUUGUGGAAUUUCUUGGAAGUCAAUUAAAAAAUGGCAAUUGGAUAAUGCUAAUAAAUUAAACCCCAUUUUGCAAGAAAACUAGCAAACUGAUUGAGGUGUCAUCUGGUGACAAUUUAGGGAAUUAUAUUCUCAACCGAGUACCAAAUGUCAUUCAGGAAUAUGCAGUAUUGAUAAAGAAAAGAGAAGGGGGAAAAACUCAGUUUAACAUGCAUUGGCCAAUCAAAACCUAAUAAUUCUCAGAGAAUAAUUAUCUAUGCAUCAUUAAUUUAGAAAUCCAAAAAUGUAUGUAAGCCUACUAAUCCCAAAUUGCACUUUAAAUAAUCCACAUAUUCUGGUUUGAAUACUUGGAGGACACUUUGAUUAGCUGUAACACAAUCUACUAUGCCAGGUAGGGAGAAGACAAGGCUAAUUUGUUUGAUGCUAAUGUGAUUGAAAAAAGAUGAGGUCAGAGAGGUACGGAACUCUUUGGGGUGAGAUUGAAACAUGCCUUUAAACAUAUUGAUUGAGUGGUCACAGUUAGGAAGAGCUUGCUAGACCAGAAACCGAGCUAAAAGCAAUGCCCUUCUCCUCUGUGCACUGUCCUUCUCUGAUGACAUCACGUGUGUGUCCCAAAUGGCACCCUAUUCCCUUUACAGUGCACAACUUUUGGCCAUAUGGCUCUGGUCAAAAUAAGUGCACUAUAUAGGGAAUAGGUCCAUGCCACAGCCCAUGACUACAGUAGAUGAGUUCUGCUGCUGUCAGCUCCCCUGGUGUGCCUGCUGGUGAGGCAGUAUCGGCCCUGACUCGACUCAGCUUAACUGGAAAUCAAACUGCAUGUCUGAAAGUGUUUUAAUUAAUAGCUGCAUGUUUUACCUGCACUUGAUUUCAAACACACACAGCCAUGAAUAUUCUGUGUUAUACCAUAGUACCUGAUACAAUCAGUGUUUGAUUGCUGAUACACUGUAGAGUAUACACAAUAUACAGAAUAAAAUAUUACUAGAACGACUAGACAUAGAAGGCACAACACUUCAUGUUUACUGUAAUGGAAAGCAAUUCUUGAAAUGGAUAGUGUGUUGCUCAGAGCAGUAGGAAUACUUUGCGGUACUAUAUGAGAGGCCUACAUUGAUAAACUGACAGUAUCUCUGCACGCUGCCUCCUUUCCCUCGAAACCGUUUUCUUGCUGUCCAGAAGCCUUUCCUAUCAGUUUAUAUUCUAGAUAAACAUUGACAACUCUGUGCCACGUAGACUGUAGCUUCCACACAGACAGGAGCAGUGUGAGUGCUGUUAAGGAACAGAGAACAGCCAGUGUUAGUUUCAGUCCAAUGUGCUCAACUCUAAAUUCUCUUGUGUAAACAAGUAAAACGGGUGCUUGGGAAUAUAUUGUAUUUUAUUUUAUUUGAGUUGCAGUUCUAACAUGAGCCAAUAGUCAUUUUAUUGUUGCUGCUUAGAGCCAUAGUUAUUUAACUCCCUUGACGUCAUGAAAGUCAAAUUUUGUACAUGAAUGGUCUAAAAUAUUGCAAUGAAUUCAUAUAAAUUCAAAUGUAUUUAAAUAAGAAAGCGCAAAAUAAAACUGAUUUAGUCAUGUA